CAUCCCCGACCGCGAGGAUCUCCAGCGCGCCUUCUUCCCGAAGGCAGCCGCAGCGCUGGCGUUCCUGCUGGGGUUCGGGCUCCUGGGGGGAUGG
rnacentral:tRNA from 1 species